rnacentral:tRNA from 1 species
GGCCGAUUGGUCAAGCGGUCAAGACGCCGCCCUCUCACGGCGGAAACAGGGGUUCGAUUCCCCUAUCGGCUA